GAUACAUGGGCUAUUUGUGGAACAUUUAAGUAUAUCAUAGGCUGCCAUGAAUAGUUUCUAAUUCAAUUAAUUUUUUGGAGGAGUCGACUUCAUAAGAAAUUUCUACAUUUCUGUGAUAAUUGAGAACUCAAAUAUAUGUAGUGUCUGUUCUCCCACCUAGCUGUUUUGUAUGAUUGUCUUUUAUUUGUAUUUUCAUUCCUUUGGUUUUAUGUGGUCCCCAACUUGAUGAGCUUCAUAAGAACAUGAUAAUGUUAGAAACUUUUACCAGUGUCAAGAGUUUUGAUUUUUCUAUAAUUAAUAAUUAAGUACCUGCAUCUUUGUCUGUUUUUAAUUACAUUAGCAUGUAUCUGAAUUUUGAAAUAUUUAGUGAGGUCUGUUUUUGAUCAUAUAUUUGCCAUUGAGGAGAAGAAAUCCCCCACUGAUGGAACUACUUUUAUUUUUGGCAAAGAUAUAUGUUCUAAUCCCAGGGCUGCUCGUCGGCAUAUUGGGUAUUGCCCCUAAUUUGAUGCUCUAUUAGAAUUUUUGACUGUUUGAGAGCAUCUUGAGCUUUAUGCAAGAAUAAAAGGACUUCCAGAGUACAGGAUAGAUGAUAUUUGAUAGUGCGUCAAAGAAAUGUUUUUCUUCUGGGUUCCUUUUCCUCAGUUUGGGAUUGAGUGUAUUAGUUAGACAAUCUGGUUGGUUGUGUGUGUGUGUAUGAGAGAGAGAGAGAGAGAGAGAGAGAGAGAAGAAGAAGAAGAAGAAGAAGAAGAAGAAGAAAUGAUCUUGAUCUGGUUUAUUGUUCUCAAAUAUUUAUUUAUUUUAGAUUGGUAGUAAGAAUUUGUAUUAAUAUUUAAAAUAAAGAGUACAAUAAUACAGAGUCUAUGACAUCUGCAAUAUUCUUUGGUUUACCAGCAUCUACUGAAAGCCAAUGAAGUAAGGAGCUGACAAACAUUGAUUUAACCCUCAAAAUUGACAAUUCAUGCCCCUCGAAAGUUCUUCCUCAGGCUCCACGAGCACGAUGGUACUAAAUUCCAAGCCCUAUGUCUAAAGGAGCUUGGUUUCCUUUUUGGACCUUUAAGCAUCAUGUAUACAUAUUUAGCCAUCACACACCAAACACUGAAGAUCACCACUCUUCUUACACAUACAACAACAGUCAACCAUGAUCAUCCCUCACAUUUGAGAUCAUCCCUCAAGCUAUCUGAACAAGU